AAACACAUGCCACUUUUAAUCGUGCUUUACUUUUCUGGUCUUCAAGGUCAAUCUCCUCACCCGCUUCUUCCUGACUGUACGGGAGCACAGUGUUUUCUGGCAGUGCUCUGGGAAGGUCACUCAGAAAUCACAACGUGAUACCCACAGGACCAUCAAGGUAUAACAUACAAAUGCCAGUAACACAAGCAGAUCGACUCCGCUCGCUCCUUUCAAGCUUUGAAGAGUCUAGACACCAAGCAGUAAAGCAAUUUUGCCACCUUAUGCCAUGGGAAGGGGUGGUGGGCUGUUGAGACCAUCCUCCUCUCUUGAUCUUCAAAAGGCAAACAGAGAUCAAGAAAGUCACGUGGAAAGAAAAGCUCAGGUUUCUCCCACUGAAACCCAGCAACAGACUUCACUGGCCACCACACAGGGCCAAGAUCUCACUGAAAUACCCUGGUGGUGCCCUGGAGAUCCUGCCACCUGAAUGUCUGGUUCAGCAUCAAGUACUGCGGAUCCUCCUAAGACCUUGAGGUGUGCUGAUUCCUUGCAGCAACGAGAUCUCCAGCUUCAUUACAUGUUGUGGCUCGGAAUCAACAGUAGCCAGCCCCAAGCAAGCUCAGGUCCCACUCAGCUCUGACAAGGGCUAUGAAGUCUGAAGUACCAGGUGCCAGCAAGGGAGAAUGACAACCCUGGAGACCACUUUCUUCAGACAUACUGCCACUCAGAAAUUCUGAUCUAGACCUGUGACUUCACAAGGUGCUUUAUAUUAAUAAUGCCAGCUGCCCAUGAAAAAUAACUUCAGGUAACAAGUUUUUGUCACUUUCAAAUAAACAGUAACAGUGACUGAUCACUCUUCUGGCUUGUUGUCUAACAAUUUCUACGGUAAACUUAUCUGAGUAGCAUCAAGCUAAAGUGGUCUUACAUUUAGGAACAUUGUAAGAAAGGAGGUCCCUUGUGUUCCCAGAUCUGAUGAGACUGGCCAAGUGCAAGUCUGGAGUUCUGGAGAGGUUUGACAUUGAUAGAUGUAAGAGGACCUACACAGCACAUCAAAAUGAAAGUCAAAUAGGUUUUACAAUUUCCAUUUACCAACAGGAAACACAGUCAUAGAGAUUUGUGAUUUGGCAGAAAAAUACAAUAUCUAGAAGAUGACACAAGACGAAAAGAAGGCAACAAGUUCUGAAAUGAAAAAAAAAGUGUCAGUAGAACAGCUUAGCCUGGAGUGGGAUAGCACCCUGAGCCUCCUUACCAAGGCUGAAGUCUUUAUAAUUGUCAAAGGAUCAUCCUCCUCUUACAGUAACAGCCAAGUCCCUUCAGCCUGCGUAAUGCAGCAGUUCACAGCAGGAUGUGGUAAUGGCCCAUAAUAUCCCCAUUUAUGAUACGAGUGAUGAAUGUUGCAAGCAGAAAUUCAUCAUGAUAUCAGGGUUAGCACUCCUGGAAGUCUCCUGCUUGGCAGAGGGUCCUUAACAGUUUUCACUAUUUAAAUCUGAUGUUCCAGUAAAAAGAAUUAAAAAAAAAAAAAAAGAAAAAGAAAAUCCCCCACAAAACCAACAACCAGGAUUUUCCAAAAGCAAAAAAAGAAAACACCCCAGCUGAUGACUAUUAAGCAUGGUCAGAAUAGCUUUCCAAAUGUCUGUUUUGAUAAAACCACAGUUUCUUCUUAAAAUUCAAUUAAUGCUAGGGAAAGCCCCACAGGAAAAAGUAUUAAAAUUUAAUUGAGGAAACUUAAGAAAUGUCAUUUAAAAUCCCAUUAUAUGACCUUUCAUGUUUCUUAUUCCUAUGCUAUUGCCUACAAUAUCAGCACAGAAUAGCUGAAUUUC